AGAUUAGAAAGUUACUUCGGUACAUCGGUGACAGGUGGUGCAUGGUUGUCGCCAGCUCGUGUCGUGAGAUGUUGGGUUAAGUCCCGCAACGAGCGCAACCCUAUUGUUAGUUGCCAUCAUUCAGUUGGGCACUCUAGCGAGACUGCCGGUAAUAACCGGAGGAAGUGGGAUGACGUCAAAUCAUCAUGCCCUUAUGACCUGGGCUACACACGUGCUACAAUGGUUGGUACAACGAGUUGCGAGUCGGUGACGGCGAGCUAAUCUCUUAAAGCCAAUCUCAGUUCGGAUUGUAGGCUGCAACUCGCCUACAUGAAGUCGGAAUCGCUAGUAAUCGCGGAUCAGCACGCCGCGGUGAAUACGUUCCCGGGCCUU
rnacentral:rRNA from 1 species